rnacentral:rRNA from 1 species
AGAUUGAACGCUGGCGGCAGGCCUAACACAUGCAAGUCGAGCGGCAGCACGGGUACUUGUACCUGGUGGCGAGCGGCGGACGGGUGAGUAAUGCCUAGGAAUCUGCCUGGUAGUGGGGGAUAACGCUCGGAAACGGACGCUAAUACCGCAUACGUCCUACGGGAGAAAGCAGGGGACCUUCGGGCCUUGCGCUAUCAGAUGAGCCUAGGUCGGAUUAGCUAGUUGGUGAGGUAAUGGCUCACCAAGGCGACGAUCCGUAACUGGUCUGAGAGGAUGAUCAGUCACACUGGAACUGAGACGACGGUCCAGACUCCGUACGGGAGGCAGCAGUGGGAAUAGUUGGACAAGUGGGCGAAAGCCUGAUCCAGUCCAGUGCCGCGUGUGAGAAGAA